rnacentral:rRNA from 1 species
CAAUAGCGUAUAUUAAAGUUGUUGCGGUUAAAAAGCUCGUAGUUGGAUUUCUGCUGAGAACGACCGGUCCGCCCUCUGGGUGUGUAUCUGGCUCUUUCUUGGCAUCUUCUUGGUGAACGUUGCUGCACUUGACUGUGUGGAGCGCUACCCAGGACUUUUACUUUGAGGAAAUUCCUGUUUCAAGCAGGCAUACGCCUUGAAUACAUUAGCAUGGAAUAAUAAGAUAGGACCUCGGUUCUAUUUUGUUGGUUUCUAGAGCUGAGGUAAUGAUUAAUAGGGAUAGUUGGGGGCAUUCGUAUUUAACUGUCAGAGGUGAAAUUCUUGGAUUUGUUAAAGACGAACUACUGCGAAAGCAUUUGCCAAGGAUGUUUUCAUUGA